GCCACUGAGCGAUGGGUGGAUGCCCUUUGCCUUUCUUUUCUUUAGACAAUCCAGCACCUGUGUGGUGUGUGUCCACUGCCUGUGUGCUGUGUUUCUACUGACUUCACAACGUCAUCUUAUAAAAUUUAUAAAAUUUAUAAAAUUUCUGGCUUAAAACUUGCUUGUAAAUUUUUGAGAAAGACCUGUUAACACUGCCUUAGAAUUGUACAUUACGAGGGUUCUUUUGAAACAGGGUCUCUUUUAGUAGCUCAGGACUAUCUUGAACUCAAUAUGUAUCCCACAAUGCCUCAUACUGUCUGCAUUUAUCCUGCCUUAGCCUUCUAAGAGCUAGGAUUUCACUCAGCAGCUAUUAUACCCAACUUAGUUUUUGUUGGACAUUUUAUUUAUUUACAUUUCAAGCGUUUUCCCCUUUCCCAGUUUCCCCUCCGCAAACCCCAUCCCAUCCCCCUUCCCUUUGCCUCUAAGAGGGUGCUCCCCG
rnacentral:lncRNA from 1 species